AGCUGGUAGGAAUCUAAGAGUUUCUGUAUUGGAGAUACUCAGACUUCCACCACAGCAUUUUUGAAGCGUGGGACCCAGGUUUUGAAGAUAACUAAGACUUGUGAGAAAGACAGCAGCAAGUGAAAUUGAAUCCUGCAUCCCCUGGUUUGCAAUAGGGCUCAGGAGAAACUAACAUGAAGUGACAUGGAAAUGCUGUUUGACACACUCCAGGAGGAGGACUUCAGGCUGCGACAAGGGGGACGGUACCUCAGCAGCCCAAGGGGGAACAGGGAGCCCAUCCUGAGAGAGAAAGCAGGACCCUGUAAGCGAUAGAGAAUUUGACCAAGCUGGAAGAGCUGCUGAAUGCUGAGGCACAUGGGACCUGUUGCAGAGUGACUGAGCAGCACCCGUGUUUCACAGACGCAGGCCAGGCAAGCUUCUUACCCCAUCUCAUAGAAAAAAGCACCAAGUUGUUUUUCUCCACAAUGUAAUGGGUAUCUUUUAAAAUUCAUGAACUGCUGGUGG
rnacentral:lncRNA from 1 species